UGCUUAACACAUGCAAGUCGAACGGAAAGGCCCUGCUUUUGUGGGGUGCUCGAGUGGCGAACGGGUGAGUAACACGUGAGUAACCUGCCCUUGACUUUGGGAUAACUUCAGGAAACUGGGGCUAAUACCGGAUAGGAGCUCCUGCUGCAUGGUGGGGGUUGGAAAGUUUCGGCGGUUGGGGAUGGACUCGCGGCUUAUCAGCUUGUUGGUGGGGUAGUGGCUUACCAAGGCUUUGACGGGUAGCCGGCCUGAGAGGGUGACCGGCCACAUUGGGACUGAGAUACGGCCCAGACUCCUACGGGAGGCAGCAGUGGGGAAUAUUGCACAAUGGGCGGAAGCCUGAUGCAGCAACGCCGCGUGCGGGGUGACGGCCUUCGGGUUGUAAACCGCUUUCGCCUGUGACGAAGCGUGAGUGACGGUAAUGGGUAAAGAAGCACCGGCUAACUACGUGCCAGCAGCCGCGGUGAUACGUAGGGUGCGAGCGUUGUCCGGAUUUAUUGGGCGUAAAGGGCUCGUAGGUGGUUGAUCGCGUCGGAAGUGUAAUCUUGGGGCUUAACCCUGAGCGUGCUUUCGAUACGGGUUGACUUGAGGAAGGUAGGGGAGAAUGGAAUUNCUGGUGGAGCGGUGGAAUGCGCAGAUAUCAGGAGGAACACCAGUGGCGAAGGCGGUUCUCUGGGCCUUUCCUGACGCUGAGGAGCGAAAGCGUGGGGAGCGAACAGGCUUAGAUACCCUGGUAGUCCACGCUGUAAACGGUGGGUACUAGGUGUGGGGUCCNUUCCACGGGUUCCGUGCCGUAGCUAACGCUUNANNNACCCCGCCUGGGGAGUACGGCCGCAAGGCUAAAACUCAAAGGAAUUGACGGGGCCCCGCACAAGCGGCGGAGCAUGCGGAUUAAUUCGAUGCAACGCGUAGAACCUUACCUGGGUUUGACAUGGAUCGGGAGCGCUCAGAGAUGGGUGUGCCUCUUUUGGGGUCGGUUCACAGGUGGUGCAUGGCUGUCGUCAGCUCGUGUCGUGAGAUGUUGGGUUAAGUCCCGCAACGAGCGCAACCCUUGUUCACUGUUGCCAGCACGUUAUGGUGGGGACUCAGUGGAGACCGCCGGGGUCAACUCGGAGGAAGGUGGGGAUGACGUCAAGUCAUCAUGCCCCUUAUGUCCAGGGCUUCACGCAUGCUACAAUGGCUGGUACAGAGAGUGGCGAGCCUGUGAGGGUGAGCGAAUCUCGGAAAGCCGGUCUCAGUUCGGAUUGGGGUCUGCAACUCGACCUCAUGAAGUCGGAGUCGCUAGUAAUCGCAGAUCAGCAACGCUGCGGUGAAUACGUUCCCGGGGCUUGUACACACCGCCCGUCAAGUCAUGAAAGUUGGUAACACCCGAAGCCGGUGGCCUAACCGUUGUGGGGGAGCCGUCGAAGGUGGGACUG
rnacentral:rRNA from 1 species